rnacentral:misc_RNA from 1 species
AUGUUGUACUAGAUGAAGCAAAUGGUGCGUCCGAGAAGUGUACACGCGAUCCGCGUCUUCGCGAAUUUGUUUUGAUUAUUUCGCGUUUUGAGUUGCAGCUCGGCGGUUCGUGAAAUUGGCGUACAGGACUUUAGAACGCCGUCAAUGAAUUUUUCGGUUUAUCCGUGUAAGUAGUGCCCUCAAGUGUUGCUAAAAAUCCAUUGGAAUAGUGAGCCGGGAAUAAACGUGUGUGCGUGAUUGGCCGUCGAAAUGGAUCCGUCCAAACUAGAUAAAAUGAAAGUGGUGGAGCUGCGUGCCGAACUAGCUGCCCGCGGUUUGGAUACAAAAGGUGUGAAGGCGGUGUUGGUAGACCGCUUGAAGCAGGCUUUGGAAGAUGGGGUCCCAGUAAUUGAAGAGAAUGUCACUGCUGAACGUGAACCCAGUGUACCGCCACCAGGUACACCAGGGGCAGCUGCAACACCAAGCCGACGUUCGCGCAGGACGAGGUCGGUAACGAGAUCCCCGUCUCCUCCGAGACGGCUAGAACAUGCUCUGGACCCGCUGCCCGAAGAGCCGGCACAAGGUGCGGACACUGUGCCUGCACCGGCAUCCAACGACCCGAUAAAGGAGGAUGAAGAUGAAUGUGAACCACCAGCGAAACGUCCUUCGUUGGAGCCCGUUCAACAACAGUUGGAGUCACAGAAAACGCCUGUGAAGGAAAGUGCGCCAGAAACAGAGAAGACAUCUGCGAAAGAAAUUGCGCCAGAACGACAGGAAACACCUGUGAAGGGAACUGCUACAGAAUCACAGAAGACGCCUAUGAAGGAUAGCGCGCCAGAGCCUAUGGAGGAAGAUACGGAAGACAGCGAUAAGAGUUAUACACGAAAUGCGACUAUAGUUGCCGAUGAAGUAGAGAAGGAAGAGGUUCGUCAUGAAGAUAAACCAAAGCCCGUGCAAAGUGAAUUCGAAAUUUUAGAGCAAAAAUCGGAGGACUCCGAGAUUACAUCAGCGCCUGCAGAAGCCAGAUCAGAACCUGAGGGAACGCUUGAGUCGCAGAAAGAGGAGGAAACCAGCAAUACGUUGGAGAAAGUAGCCGCGGAUGAUGUGUCCACUAAGUCGAAUACGGAGGAUUCUAAGAGCAGUCGGAAACUUUCUGCGGAUGAGGAUCGAAGCUCACGUCGACAUAAGCGAUCAUACUCACGUUCUGCAUCUCGUUCGCGAUCAAAAUCACGGUCGUCUCGGUCGCGAUCUCGAUCUAGAUCAAGGUCGCGUUCAAGAUCACGUUCGAGGUCGCGGUCUCGGUCACGAUCGAAGUCUCGUUCACGCUCCAGGUCACGUUCUAAAUCUAAGUCGCCGAAACGACGCAGGACACCGGAAGCCCAAGCGAUUGAAUUUCGCAAUGAGGAAGACGAACCGGUUAUUGAAGACAAGGUGGUCGGCCUCAGUUGGUUCGACUCUGAUUUGCAUUUGGGAAUCGAUCCAGUGGGCUUCACCUCGGCGAAGCCUCUAGCGGCCGAAGCUUUAGGCUUGGCCUGGGCCGGGGCUCGAGCGAAUUUUGGCGUGAAAUCUGGCAAGGUAGCCUACGAAGUGUCGAUCUCAGAGGAAAUCACUAGCACAGCAUUCCGCGGAGAGAAGCAUAUGCAGGGAUUCCGUUGCGGAUUUUCAACUACAGCUUCAGACUUGAUGCUGGGUGAAUCAGAAAACUCCUUCGCUAUUUGCGAAUCUGGGAAGAAAGCGUUAAACGGGCAGUUUGAGGAGUUUGGCAAACCUUUUGGUUUAGACGAUGUAAUCGGUUGCUAUCUGGAUUUGGAUAGUACUCCGUGCAUUGUAGAGUUCUCUCUUAAUGGCGAGAGAUUGGGAGCUGCAUUUGAGUUCGAUAAAUCCACACUUGGAGAUGAUAUUGCACUGUAUCCUCACAUCCUCACUAAAGGCUACGAGUUCAAAGUGAAUUUCGCUGACAGUGAAAAUCUUUUGGCAAACGCUGAACGUCCGAAACGUGAAGCUAAAAGACAAGAAACGACUCCACCGAAACGUAGUCGUUCUCGAAGUGUUGAGAAGUCCAAACCGGGUACCGGAGACAAUGAGGACAAUUGGGAUGAAGACGCAUCUGGAAAGAAAGAAGAGAAUGGUGAAAAACCAAACGCUAUUCCCGCUGAGAAGUCAGAUAUUUCGGACGAAGUAGCUGAUUCAAAUCAGCAGACAGCGGAAAAUAUCAAAGAGACUGAAGACGUUGAUAAUAAAAGUUCAGCUGAGAAACAAUCAGAGUCCGAUGGGGGAGAAAAGCGUGAUGAAUCGCAGGAUGUUGGCAGUGAUCCAGAUCCAUCAUCGCAAGAGGAAAUCCAACCCCGAGAACCAGUGAGUCUCCUCGAGGGGUACGAAUUAAUUGGUCUUGUCACCGAGGAACAUUUGAUAUCGGGGCCGCAGCGACCCGAAAGCCGUAAAGAGUGUGAAGUGAUUCUGAUAGUCGGCUUGCCCAAUUCGGGAAAAACCCACUGGCGAACGAACUAUGUUAAAGAACAUCCUGAGAAACGAUUCACUGUUAUUGGACCAGAUGCACUUAUUGAUAAAAUGAGGGUUGAUGGUAAACCGCGAAAGUCAUGUCAUGUUGGUAAAUGGGAAAAAGUUUAUGAUUUAUGUUUAAAAAGUUUAUCAGUUCUCGAAGACAUUGCCACUAAGAGGCGUCGAAAUUUCAUUCUUGAUCAGAACAAUGUAUUUGCAUCAUGUCAACGCCGUAAAAUGAAAGGUUUCGGAGACUUCAAGCGCAUUGCGGUUAUAUGUGUACCCAGCGAAGAUGAAUUGAAACGGCGCAACGAUUUGAAAAUUGCCGAAGAUGGAAUUGAAUUGGUUAAUGAGUCAACACUAAAUAAAAUGAAAGCGAAUUUCACUUUGCCCUCUGUGGAGUUUGGUUGGUUUGACGAGGUUCGGUAUACCGAUCUCGAAGGAGACGAAGCCAAGGAAGAAGUAAAAAAAUACAUUGAAAAAGGAAAGAAGGCGGUUCAAGCAAUGCAGGCUAAAUACAAGCGACGUCGACACGAUAACUAUCGCCGAGAUGACCGUCGUGGCGGUCGCGACGAUCGUCGCCGCGACGAUUAUCGCUCCCGUUGGAGGGAGGAUAGACGGGGCCGUGGAGGAAACAACCGCUGGGGUGGAUCUCAUGGCGGAGGUGGCGGUGACAAGCGAGGUGGUCAUUGGCGUGAUGAUCGCGGUUAUGGUGGCGGAGGAGGCGGCGGUGGUCGAUAUGAUCGUCGUGACAAUCGUUACUCGAGAGGAGGAGGAGGAGGAGGCGGCGCCGGAGGUGGUUCUUGGGUGCACAACAAUCGCCAGCCUCGCUAUGGCGAAGAUCGUUAUGGAGGUGGAGGCCGGCCUCAACAUUAUGGUGGAGGUGGCGGCGGCGGCGGAGGCGGAGGCGGACGUUAUGGUGGUGGAGAUUAUGGCGGCGGUCGCGACUACCGAGACAGAGGCUAUGAUCGAGAUCGUAAUGGUGGUGGUGGUGGCGGCGGCGGCGCCGGCAGUAGUCGACGUGAAAGUAGCCAUCGCGGUGGAAAUCAACGGGAUUUUCGGGGCGGCCACCGCGACCAUCGUUCCGAAGAUAGUCGCGGUGGCUAUGACCGAUCCUCAUCAAAAUAUUCAAGUGAUGCAGGAUAUGAAUAUAAAGGCAGUCGUUCGGGCAAUUCCAACAGCAAAAGUACAAACAGUAGUAAUACCAGCCAGAACAAUUGGGGAAGUAGCCAACAGCCACAACAACAGCAACAACAACACAUGCAGAGCAAUUGGGCAACAUCGUCGGGUAGUCAUCAGGGACAGAUGCAACAAUCUCAUCAACAGCAACCACAAUCACAACAGCAGUCUAGUUACUGGAACUACGAUAUGUCACAAGGUAUAUCUCUUGAAAUCGAUUAAGCAACAUAUGGCAAUCAGCAGCAGCAGCAACAAUGGUCGAUGAGCAGUGAUCCACGUCAGCAACAACAGUGGAUGAGUUGGUGGCAGCAACAAGGCAAUGUUUCUAUGAAUCCGCAGCAACAACAAUAUUGGUCGCAA